GCAAACACCCUCAGCUCGAGUAUUUAUUUAUUCGACGCUGGUCUUGGGCAGCGGAUGCCGGUGGUCGAUUUAUCUCCACCUGCGCCCUCCCUAAACUUGCUGCACGACCGCAAGCCCCUUCUAGCCAGGUCAAUGGAGUGGUGUUACAAUCUUCCAAAAAGCCUGAUGGAUAACCGCUUGGUGGCGUUAAACCCAAAAGUCUCCUCACGGAGAUCGAAG
rnacentral:misc_RNA from 1 species